GAUGAAGAACGCAGCGAAAUGCGAUACGUAAUGUGAAUUGCAGAAUUCAGUGAAUCAUCGAGUCUUUGAACGCACAUUGCGCCCCCUGGUAUUCCGGGGGGCAUGCCUGUCCGAGCGUCAUUGCUGCCCUCAAGCACGGCUUGUGUGUUGGGCCUCCGUCCUCCUCCCGGGGGACGGGCCCGAAAGGCAGCGGCGGCACCGCGUCCGGUCCUCGAGCGUAUGGGGCUUCGUCACCCGCUCUUGUAGGCCCGGCCGGCGCUUGCCGACACAUCAAUCUUUUUUCCAGGUUGACCUCGGAUCAGGUAGGGAUACCCGCUGAGCUUAAGCAUAUCAUUAAGCGGAGGA
rnacentral:misc_RNA from 1 species